ACAGACACUUGCUGAGCACCUGCUUUAUGCAAAGCACUGGGGAUACAAAAAGAAAGAUGUGCGCACUGCCCUCCAGGAGCUCCCAGCCCAGUGCAGGGAGGCAGAGAGACACUUGCUGAGCACUUGCUUUGUGCCAAGCACUGGGGAUACAAAAAGAAAGAGAUGCCCACUGCCCUCCAGGAGCUCCCAGCCUUGAGCACACCCCUCGUGCAUUGGUUCGGGGCCCUUGGAAUGCAACCUAAAGGUACAUUAUCUAAGAGGAAGAGGAAUCUCCAGAUUCCUAGAUGUAUCUUCUCUAAGCCAGUGCUGCUGACUUAACCUCAACUACCAGAGGACAACCUGAGCCACAGAAAGUCAUUUAAGUUGCAAAGGCAAAAAGAGCUCCUCCUGUAGCACGAUGGGUGGUGAAGUGCAUGCUGCCCAGGCCCAGACGACUAUGAGCUCUUGUCCUUGGGUCUAUCCAAGAAGAGGAAUGGAGCCCUGGGCCCAGGAUGGCUUAUACAUUCCCUGUCUGGAGACAGAGGCUGGGUGACCUCUCAGGACCCUCUCAGUUCUAUAACUCCACAGCCCACUAGGGUUGGGGUCUUCAUGGCUUGUAACUGGAGAUUUUGCUAAAAGCAGGUGCUACUGCAAAGUUGUGAGUGCAAACAGGCUUCUUUCUGCAAAACGCUCAGAUCUGAGAUUCAACAAUUGCUAUCGAGCCCUCUGACCCAGCCAGUAGCCAGCCUGCAGGGGACUGUUUCUGAAGCAUUUACACCGGGCGCCAGGUGAACAAGGAGGCUGACAGCCUAGCUGAGCUCCAGAAGCUCUGGCAUUUGGAGAACAUCUUCCCUUAUUUAAUGCUUAGCCUGUGCCUAAACUGACACACCUUACGUCAGGAUAGGGUGGUUGGGCAAGUGGGUGUGUGUAGAGGUUGCUGUACAAGUCAAAUGACAUUUUCUGCCUGAAGGAGAUCACAGAAUUAGGGAAUGUUGAGUUCAAAAUUCCUACAGAACAAUCUGCCUGCUGUACCAGCGUGUCAUUUCCCCAUUCUCCUUCCCCUUCUCCAACUACUGUUCAGUCUGUACCCCAUUAACCUGCCUUUGCUUUUCUUCAUUUUUUUAUGAUUACCUGUAAUUAUCUUAUUUGUUGGCUUUUUUAUUUAUCAGCUGUUUCCCCAAUCCCAAUAUAAGGUUCAUGAAAGCAGGGGCCUUGCCUGUCUGUGCCCCAGGCACCCAGUGCCUGGCUGGUAAGCACAUAUUGAAU
rnacentral:lncRNA from 10 species